rnacentral:rRNA from 1 species
AUUGAACGCUGGCGGCAUGCCUUACACAUGCAAGUCGAACGGCAGCACGGGAGCAAUCCUGGUGGCGAGUGGCGAACGGGUGAGUAAUACAUCGGAACGUGCCCAGUUGUGGGGGAUAGCCCGGCGAAAGCCGGAUUAAUACCGCAUACGACCUACGGGUGAAAGCGGGGGAUCGCAAGACCUCGCGCUAUUGGAGCGGCCGAUGUCGGAUUAGCUAGUUGGUGGGGUAAAAGCCUACCAAGGCUACGAUCCGUAGCUGGUCUGAGAGGACGACCAGCCACACUGGGACUGAGACACGGCCCAGACUCCUACGGGAGGCAGCAGUGGGGAAUUUUGGACAAUGGGCGCAAGCCUGAUCCAGCCAUGCCGCGUGCGGGAAGAAGGCCUCGGUUGUAACGACUUUGUCUAGGAAGAAACGGUUUAGGGUCGUAAUACCCGAACCUAA